rnacentral:rRNA from 1 species
UACAUAGGGUGCAAGCGUUAAUCGGAAUUACUGGGCGUAAAGCGUGCGUAGGCGGUAGCGUAAGUCUGGUGUGAAAGCCCCGGGCUCAACCUGGGAAUGGCAUUCGAGACUGCUCUGCUAGGGUGCGGAAGAGGGGAGCGGAAUUUCCGGUGUAGCGGUGAAAUGCGUAGAUAUCGGAAGGAACACCAGUGGCGAAAGCGGCUCCCUGGUCCAGCACCGACGUUCAGGCACGAAAGCGUGGGGAGCAAACAGG